rnacentral:rRNA from 1 species
CCUACGGGAGGCAGCAGUGGGGAAUAUUGCGCAAUGGGGGAAACCCUGACGCAGCAACGCCGCGUGAGUGAGGAAGUAGCUCGGGAUGUAAAGCUCUAUCAGCGGGGAAGAAGGAAGACGGAACCCGACGAAGAAGCACCGGCUAACUACGUGCCAGCAGCCGCGGUAAUACGGAGGGGGCGAGCGUUCUCCGGAUUUACGGGGGGUAAAGGGAGCGUCGAAGGCGUCGAAAGUCUGAAGGGAAAGCCCGUGGCUCAACCGCGGAACCGCUUUGGAAACUGCGAGGCUUGAGUGCUGGUGAGGUACGCGGCAUUCCUGGUGUAGCGGUGAACUGCUUAGAUAUCAGGAGGCACUCCGGUGGCGAAGGCGGCUUACUGGACAGUGACUGCCGUUGAGGCUCGACAGCGUGGGGAGCGAACAGGAUUAGAUACCCAAGUAGUC